rnacentral:rRNA from 1 species
UACGGAGGGGGUUAGCGUUGUUCGGAAUGACUGGGCGUAAAGGGUGCGUAGGCGGGUCUUUAAGUCAGGGGGGAAAUCCUGGAGCUCAACUCCAGAACUGCCUUUGAUACUGAAGAUCUUGAGUUCGGGAGAGGUGAGUGGAACUGCGAGUGUAGAGGUGAAAUUCGUAGAUAUUCGCAAGAACACCAGUGGCGAAGGCGGCUCACUGGCCCGAUACUGACGCUGAGGCACGAAAGCGUGGGGAGCAAACAGG